GAUGAACGCUAGCGGCAGGCCUAAUACAUGCAAGACGAACGGUAAGUUGAGUAGCAAUACUUAGCCAAGAGUGUCGUACGGGUGCGUAACACGUAUGCAACCUACCCUAUACAGGAGGAUAGCCUAGGGAAACCUGGAUUAAACCCUUCAUAGUAUUAUUGGAUGGCAUCAUUUGAUAAUUAAAACUGAGGUGGUAUAGGAUGGGCAUGCGUCUGAUUAGUUAGUUGGCGGGGUAAUGGCCCACCAAGACGAUGAUCAGUAGGGGUUCUGAGAGGAAGACUCCCCCACACUGGCACUGAGAUACGGGCCAGACUCCUACGGGAGGCAGCAGUA
rnacentral:rRNA from 1 species